rnacentral:rRNA from 1 species
GUCAUAUGUUCUUCGUGAACAUGGCGUACUGCUCAGUAACACGUGGAUAACCUGCCCUUGGGUCCGGCAUAACCCCGGGAAACUGGGGAUAAUUCCGGAUAACGCACAUAUGCUGGAAUGCUUUAUGCGUCAAAUGGAUUCGUCUGCCCAAGGAUGGGUCUGCGGCCUAUCAGGUAGUAGUGGGUGUAAUGUACCUACUAGCCGACGACGGGUACGGGUUGUGAGAGCAAGAGCCCGGAGAUGGAUUCUGAGACAUGAAUCCAGGCCCUACGGGGCGCAGCAGGCGCGAAAACUUUACAAUGCGGGAAACCGUGAUAAGGGGACACCGAGUGCCAGCAUCAUAUGCUGGCUGUCCGGGUGUGUAAAAUACACCUGUUAGCAAGGGCCGGGCAAGACCGGUGCCAGCCGCCGCGGUAACACCGGCGGCCCGAGUGGUGAUCGUGAUUAUUGGGUCUAAAGGGUCCGUAGCCGGUUUGGUCAGUCCUCCGGGAAAUCUGACGGCUUAACCGUUAGGCUUUCGGAGGAUACUGCCAGGCUUGGAACCGGGAGAGGUAAGAGGUACUACAGGGGUAGGAGUGAAAUCUUGUAAUCCCUGUGGGACCACCUGUGGCGAAGGCGUCUUACC